GACGAACGCUGGCGGCGUGCCUAAUACAUGCAAGUAGAACGAUGAAGGAGGAGCUUGCUUCUCCGGAUGAGUUGCGAACGGGUGAGUAACGCGUAGGUAACCUGCCUGGUAGCGGGGGAUAACUAUUGGAAACGAUAGCUAAUACCGCAUAACAGUAGAUAUUGCAUGAUAUCUGCUUGAAAGGUGCAAUUGCAUCACUACCAGAUGGACCUGCGUUGUAUUAGCUAGUUGGUGGGGUAACGGCUCACCAAGGCGACGAUACAUAGCCGGCCUGGGAGGGGGGUCGGCCACACUGGGACUGAGACACGGCCCAGACUCCUACGGGAGGCCGCAGUAGGGAAUCUUCGGCAAUGGACGGAAGUCUGACCGAGCAACGCCGGGUGAGUGAAGAAGGGUCUCGGAUCGGAAAGCUCUGUUGUAAGGGAAGAACGAGUGUGGGAGUGGAAAGUUCACACUGUGACGGUACCUUACCAGAAAGCGACGGCUAACUACGUG
rnacentral:rRNA from 1 species